rnacentral:snRNA from 2 species
AUAUCUUUCUCGGCCUUUUGGCUAUGAUCAAGUAUAGUAUCUGUUCUUAUCAGUUUAAUAUCUGAUAUGAUAUAAUAUGUGGGCCAUGUGCCUACAAUGAUAUUAAAUUUAUUUUUUAUGAGGGAGGGGCCACCACAAUGGCUUGCCAUUGGGUCUUUUAGGUGUCUUCUAGUGCGUUGUAUUACUGCCUGGGCAGGCGCACCCCAA